rnacentral:rRNA from 1 species
CAGUAGCCGCGGUAAUACGUAGGGUGCAAGCGUUAAUCGGAAUUACUGGGCGUAAAGCGUGCGCAGGCGGUGUUGUAAGACUGAUGUGAAAUCCCCGGGCUUAACCUGGGAACUGCAUUUGUGACUGCACGGCUAGAGUGUGUCAGAGGGGGGUAGAAUUCCACGUGUAGCAGUGAAAUGCGUAGAUAUGUGGAGGAAUACCGAUGGCGAAGGCAGCCCCCUGGGAUAACACUGACGCUCAUGCACGAAAGCGUGGGGAGCAAACAGGAUUAGAUCCCCCGUAGUCCCUGUCUCUUAUACA